rnacentral:rRNA from 2 species
CUAAACGACUCUCGGCAACGGAUAUCUCGGCUCUCGCAUCGAUGAAGAACGUAGCGAAAUGCGAUACUUGGUGUGAAUUGCAGAAUCCCGUGAACCAUCGAGUCUUUGAACGCAAGUUGCGCCCGAGGCCUCCUGGUCGAGGGCACGUCUGCCUGGGUGUCA